ACUAAGUUUGAUUUUAGUGGUAUUAGUUUUUUCACAAGAAACUCCUUUUCUAAAAAGAUUGUCAUGUUAUUGAUGAAUAUCUUUUAUUCUUCAGCAAGGUAGAAGUAGUAUCCUUUAGUUUUUUUAGAGUACCCUAUGAACAAGUAUUUAUCGGAUCUAGAUCCAAGCUUGUCUGUCUUUAAACACUUUACAUAAGUCGGACAUCUCCAAAUCC
rnacentral:lncRNA from 1 species